GCCGGGUUUGGUGGCCCACACCUGUCAUCCCAGCCGCUCAGGUGGCUGAGGCAGGAGGAUCAGGAGUUGAAAGCCAGCCUCAGCAACUAGUGAGGCCCUAAGCAACUCAGUGAGAACCUGUUUCUA
rnacentral:sRNA from 1 species